UACAGAGGUCUCAAGCGUUGUUCGGAUUCAUUGGGCGUAAAGGGUGCGUAGGCGGCGCGGUAAGUCGGGUGUGAAAUCUCGGGGCUUAACUCCGAAACUGCAUUCGAUACUGCCGUGACUAGAGUUCGGUAGGGGAGUGUGGAAUUCCUGGUGGAGCGGUGAAAUGCGCAGAUAUCAGGAGGAACACCCGUAGCGAAGGCGGCACUCUGGGCCGAUACUGACACUGAGGAGCGAAAGCGUGGGGAGCGAACAGG
rnacentral:rRNA from 1 species